rnacentral:rRNA from 1 species
GAUGAACGCUGGCUACAGGCUUAACACAUGCAAGUCGAGGGGAAACGACGGGGAAGCUUGCUUCCCCGGGCGUCGACCGGCGCACGGGUGAGUAACGCGUAUCCAACCUGCCUCUGACUGAGGGAUAACCCGUCGAAAGUCGGCCUAAUACCUCAUGGUAUCGUCUGCGGGCAUCCAACGACGAUUAAAGAUUUCAUCGGUCAGGGAUGGGGAUGCGUCUGAUUAGCUUGUUGGCGGGGUAACGGCCCACCAAGGCUACGAUCAGUAGGGGUUCUGAGAGGAAGGUCCCCCACAUUGGAACUGAGACACGGUCCAAACUCCUACGGGAGGCAGCAGUGAGGAAUAUUGGUCAAUGGGCGAGAGCCUGAACCAGCCAAGUAGCGUGCAGGAAGACGGCCCUAUGGGUUGUAAACUGCUUUUAUGCGGGGAUAAAGUGAGGGACGUGUCCCUCAUUGCAGGUACCGCACGAAUAAGGACCGGCUAAUUCCGUG